CUCUUAUAUAGUCCACACCGGCGUACUCAUUUGAGUACUAUCGACUUUAGAGACAUCACAGAAUGGAACUGAAUUUUUCUAUGGAACCUACCAAGUAUUGGCUUGACUGGAGCUCCUCUGCCCCAACUUCAUUACUAGAAGAUUUACAUCUAGCCCUAGAAGCAGGUCACAAUGGAAGUAAAUCCAUGCAGCACUGUUAAGACAGAAUAAUUUUGCUGCUCAUAAAAACCCCGAAGUCUUUAUUGGAUGUCUGUUUGAAGCAGAUGGCAGAAUGCUCAUAAAGAUUAAAAGCAGUAUUGCAAAAGGCAA